rnacentral:misc_RNA from 1 species
UCUGCCACCCAACCAAAUCCUCGAUCUCGCCGAACAACCCCACCCUUUCAAAAUCCGAUUUUCCGAUGCCGAAGAAGCGAAAGUCUAUCGCCACCAGCCUCGACGAGGUGGAUCGAACCCUCUACGCGUCGUUUUGCACCGCCGCCAACUCCCUCUCGCAGCUCUACACGCACUCCAUGAACCACCAGAAGCUCUCCUUCAACG